rnacentral:lncRNA from 1 species
GGAAGUGACUGGAUGUGGAGAGGAGUGUAUCCGCGAAGGAACGCACAAGUGGCCUGACCUGCAGAAGAACGCUAGCUAGGCACUAGGCAUGCCGGCAAGGUCAGCUGAGAGCUGACCCCAGUGCAACGUGGAGGAGUUUGGUUGGGGCAGUCGGAGGAGCACCUGGGCCGCCAAGCGGCCAGACUUCGGGGGAAAGCCAUCUCUCUUCUGGCGCCUUUAUCGGCAGAGAGCUACUUGUACUCAAAACCUUGCACUCAUUCUCCAAGCCCACGUGGGUAAGAUUCACCCACACUGCGGAGGGCGUCGGAGCUCCACAGCCUGCCUGUCUGUAUGCUCCCAUAGAGGUUUGAGCAGCGGGGCACUGGAGAAGCAAGUCACACCCCCAUUGCACGCCAUGGGAGUAGGACAAGGAUUCAACAGAGUUGGAUUGCUGAGAAUAAAAUUACGGAUUUCUCCAUAAUGGACACACGCACUUUUUGUUUGUGCUGUUUCCUUUAGAAUGGACGAUGAGUCAAAAUUGUUCGUUUAUGCUUCUUCACAGAAGGAUCUUCUGUGUCGUAGGAGGUGGCCUGCAGCAAUCUGGACAUUCAGUGGUCCUCCUGUGAUUAAUAGGUGAACGGAUGAGCUAUUCUGAUAAGAACUGGGGAACUUUUGCCAUUCAAAAGCAAAUAGAAGAACUGGGAGAUUCCUCAACUUAGCUUUUCUUUUUUUUGGUUCUAAAGUGACUGCGAAUGGAGGUAGAAGAGAAGAAAAGCUUUCAAAAACAUCUUCCAUUAAGAAAAAUAUGUAUCUUCAUGAAGACCUAUCUGAGUAAAAUUACUAAAACAUAAUGGCUUUCUUGAAAUAGAAUGGAAUGAAAGGCAUAUUAGGGAGUAUGAAAGUAUGAAGAUUUUAUUAACAUACUUCUAGAAGUUUAUUAAAUAUCUGCACAGGAACUGUAAUUUGAGAUCAGUGGUGGAAAGAGAAUAAAGGAAUCACGUGGACAUCAGCUCUGAGGCCUGUGGCCCCACUUGCUUCUGGGCUUUCUAUAGACAUUUGCUGGUGACCUGCCCAGGCAGGCUAGAGUACCCUUCCUCAUUGCACCCUGUGUUCCCAUCCUCUUUUCCUUCCUUCCUUCCUUCCUUCCUUCCUUCCUUCCUUUCUUCCUCCAUCCCUUAUGAAACCCUCGUUGUGCAGUUACUUAUUAGGUGCUGUGUGAGCGUCUGAAGUCUCCCCUCACCCACUUUUCCAUUUGGGCCACUUGGCCAGUGAUUGCAUCAGUACCAGGGUUCUAGGAGCCAUGCAGGGAUCCCCAGUGGGCAGAGCUGGCCGUAGCAUUUGGAAAGGAAGAGAGAGAACUGGAGACAAUGCCUAGGAACAAAAGCAGAGUCCAGACCCAGGCAUCAAGUGCAAAUCCAAAGGCUCUGGAUGAGUCAGUUCCCAGCAAAGGGACACAAGUAGGCACAGAAGGAAGGACAGCAGAAAACACUGGUCCAGAGAGGGCCUGCAGAGCCAGAAGCGAUGACGCAUCCAAGGUUGUGUUUGACUUCUGCACUGCCUCUGCAACCUGUAAGCACAUCUGAGCCAGUUCAGAAAGUAGGAAAACCAAAGUAUAUCAGAAAUGGCCUCUUAUCAUCAAGGAGAUUUUGGUCUAGAUUGCUUAUUGCUCAGGAGAAAUCACCACUUUUUAAAAAGAUAUGCUGAGAUAGGGUUUAGUUGGGAUAGAAAAGGUUAUUAAACUACGGGACACCCUUCCUUUACAGAGUGUAAGCACUACUACCCCUUUUGUUUGUCUGUUUUUCUUAUUUUUCUCACAGAUGCAGUUCCUGCAUUAGUAUUGAUAAAUGUGUGGCUGCUCCACUUGGAGUGUUUUCAAAGCAUAAAUCACAGCAUUGAUGGUGCUGUGGUUUGGCUCUUCCAGCCCUCUUAACAACGGUCUGAUGGACUUGGCGAGAGUCUAGCCACGUGUUCUGGCCUCUGUCACUCUCAUGGCUGAAACGCAUGCACACCCACAGAUGGGGGCCCCGUGGUAGAGAUGUGCCUCUACUUGUCAAAUAGACUGACUCCAAAUUCGGAAAUAUGCCUCAGGAAUCUAGAAAGAUAGAAAAGGAGUCUUCGUCACUGUAGGGUCUCAUUCACAAUAUGGAGGAGAGAUGGAGGGGAGUUUUUGGUAUAAAUUUUGCCUCAUAAAAAUUCUCCACGUUGUUUUGUACUGUAUGAGGGUAGCGAGAAAUUAGUUGAUGGUUAACAAUCAAGCUGGAGAAGAAUAUCCUCAAUUUUUCACAUGGAAAAUGAAAAACUACAACUCCUUCCAAAUAUAUGUAUGUUUCUUUUCUGACGUGUGUGUGUUUGUGUGUAUCAUAUAACAUUUAUUUUUUGAUUUCUUUGUUAUCAACAGUAAAAAUACAGAAAAUGAUGCCAAAGAG